UCACACCCGUUCCCAUGCCGAACACGGUCGUUAAGCUCUUCAGCGCCGAUGGUAGUUGGGGGCUUCCCCCUGUGAGAGUAGGACGUUGCCGGGC
rnacentral:rRNA from 1 species